rnacentral:rRNA from 1 species
UACGUAGGGGGCAAGCGUUAUCCGGAUUUACUGGGUGUAAAGGGAGCGUAGACGGUGAAGCAAGUCUGAAGUGAAAGGCGGGGGCUCAACCCCCGGACUGCUUUGGAAACUGUUUGACUGGAGUGCAGGAGAGGUAAGUGGAAUUCCUGGUGUAGCGGUGAAAUGCGUAGAUAUCAGGAGGAACACCGGCGGCGAAGGCGGCCUGCUGGACCGCGACUGACGUUGAGGCUCGAAAGCGUGGGGAGCGAACAGG